GUGCUGGAUCGUUGUUGGUAAAUAAGCACCUCAGAGCUGUUUCAUAGGCUGUAAAAACGGCUCCAUUCACUACAAAGGCUCUGGUAACUGCAGUUCCCAAACCACGCCAGAGUAUUCUAUAUCCUUCUUCCUUAACACUUUGUCUGAAGCAAUCAACAAUGCCACCGUAUUUAGUUGAGGACUGCGCCUGGAGUCUGGUUUUUAUGACAUCCAAGGGAUAGCAAGAUAUCCAGCUAGCAACUCCAGCAAGGCCACCUGCAACGAGCAUGGUCCUGAAGGUCUCCUGGCCAUUUUUUCUGCAACCAGGGUGAAGCUGCUCUCUCAUAUACUCGUAUGUCCAGAAGUAGAAGCCAUAGGCUGGUGCAUCUCUAAGAACAGUGAUGGUUAAACCACGGUACAUUCCCCUGAGACCUUCGUUUCUGAAUAUGCUUCUUGCUACGUCCAGCGGACCACUGUGAAUGCUUGAAUA
rnacentral:lncRNA from 1 species